rnacentral:rRNA from 1 species
CCUAGUAAGCGCGAGUCAUUAGCUCGCGUUGAUUACGUCCCUGCCCUUUGUACACACCGCCCGUCGCUACUACCGAUUGAAUGGCUUAGUGAGACUUUCGGAUGUGUUUGGAGCCGCUGGCAACAGCGACACCUUGCGCAGAAGUUAUUCAAACUUGGUCAUUUAGAGGAAGUAAAAGUCGUAACAAGGUUUCCGUAGGUGAACCUGCGGAAGGAUCAUUAAAAAAAAUUUAAUGAAUGUCGGGGGUUCUUCCUCCGAGUAUUCAACCAAACCCGCUCGUGUAUUUGUACCAAACAAACAUAAUUUUUAAAAUUAACAAAAUAAUUAAUUAAAAGAAAAAACUUUCAACAACGGAUCUCUUGGCUCUCGCAUCGAUGAAGAACGCAGCGAAAUGCGAUAAGUAGUGUGAAUUGCAGAACUUUGUGAACCAUCGAAUCUUUGAACGCAAAUUGCGCCUUUUUCGGAAGGCAUGUCUGUUUGAGGGCACCAUUUAACAAAUAAUGUGCACCGUUUUGUGUGUGUGCACACGUUGAUGAGCUUUCCAAGAAAAUAUUUUUUUUUUGGUGGCGCAUAAUGAACAGCGCGAAGGCUUUUUUCAGUUCGAGUGUAGUAAAAUCUUUGCUCGGGUUGUGAAAAGCAUAGUAGCGCAAUGGGUGUGGCAAUUUUGUAAUCCCCUGCCCCAAUGCCACUCUUUCUCGCGAAAGAAUGUUAUAAUCUUCAGGGCCUCAAAUCAGACAAGAGUACCCGCUGAACUUAAGCAUAUCAAUAAGCGGAGGAAAAGAAACUAACAAGGAUUCCCCUAGUAACGGCGAGUGAAGCGGGAACAGCUCAAAUUUUAAAUCUGGCUGCUUCGCAGUCCGAGUUGUAAUUUGAAGGCGUCUGUCGCUUGUGAGACGAUGACACAAGUCCUCUGGAACGUGGCAUCGUAGAGGGUGAGAAUCCCGUCUCUGGUCGUUGUCUUUGCAGGCAUACGGCAGGCGAUCCGAAGAGUCGAGUUGUUUGGGAUUGCAGCUCCAAAUGGGUGGUAAACUCCAUCUAAGGCUAAAUAUUGGCGAGAGACCGAUAGCGAACAAGUACCGUGAGGGAAAGAUGAAAAGAACUUUGAAAAGAGAGUAAAACAGUACGUGAAAUUGUUGAAAGGGAAACGCUUGAAGUCAGUCGUGCCGGCGGGGAUUCAGCGAACUUCGCGGAGUGAGCGUAUUUCCUCGCAUGGCAGGUCAGCGUCAGUUUUGCGCGUCGUGAAAGGGCUCGGGUAAGGUGACUCUCUUCGGGGAGUGUUAUAGACCUGGGCAGAUGCGAUGCGCGGGACUGAGGAUUGCAGCGGACACCCUUCGGGGCGCGGCGACCGAUCCCUGCUCUGUCACCUUCGUCCGAUAGCGUGCUAACGGUCGAGGGAGCGGCGGUUGCACCGGGUUGGCAAGCCGGUGGCUUUCGCUAAGGAUGCUGGCGUAAUGGCUUUAAACGACCCGUCUUGAAACACGGACCAAGGA